rnacentral:rRNA from 1 species
AUACGUAGGGGGCGAGCGUUGUCCGGAAUGAUUGGGCGUAAAGGGCGCGUAGGCGGCCCGGUAAGUCUGGAGUGAAAGUCCUGUUUUUAAGAUGGGAAUUGCUUUGGAUACUGUCGGGCUCGAGUGCAGGAGAGGUAAGUGGAAUUCCCAGUGUAGCGGUGAAAUGCGUAGAGAUUGGGAGGAACACCAGUGGCGAAGGCGACUUACUGGACUGUAACUGACGCUGAGGCGCGAAAGUGUGGGGAGCAAACAGGAUUAGAUACCCUGGUAGUCCACACUGUAAACGAUGAAUGCUAGGUGUAGGGGGUAUCGACCCCUUCUGUGCCGCAGUCAAAACAAUAAGCAUUCCGCCUGGGGAGUACGGCCGCAAGGUUGAAAAUCAAAGGAAUUGACGGG